CAGCCAACAUCGAACUCCAGAAGUUUCAAAAUAGAGAAGGCCCAUUUAGCAAGAAGCUUGCAAGUACUUUUGAAAACUUUGAUUAUAAUCCAGCAUCAUGGUGGCGGCUUUAUGGAACUGAAACACCAGCUCUACAUAAGAUGACUACCAAGAUCCUAUCUUUAACAGCAAGUUCUUCUGGUUGUGAAAGAAAUUGGAGUGGGUUUGAUGGGGUGCACACUAAGAAGAGAAAUAGGCUUACUACAGACCGCCUCAACAAGUUGGUCUACAUUCAAUUCAACAACAGGCUGAUUAAUAAGAGAGCAAAG